rnacentral:rRNA from 1 species
GGAGUGGCGCACGGGUGAGUACGCGUGGGAACAUGCCUUUCAGUUCGGAAUACGUCGGGAACUGACGCUAAUACGAAUAUCCUCCGGGGGAAAGAUUAUCGUGAAAGAUGGCCGGUAGAUUAGCUAGUGUGAGGUAAUGGUCACCAAGUCCGAUCUUUAGCUGGUCUGAGAAGGACGACCAGCCACUGGACUGAGACACGGUCCAGACUCCUACGGGAGGCAGCAGUGGGGAUUUUGGGCCAAUGGGGGAAACCCUUGAUCCAGCCAUGCCGCGUGAGUGAUGAAGGCCUUAGGGUUGUAAAGCUCUUUUACCAGGGAAGAUGAUGACGGUACCUGGAGAAUAAGCACCGGCUAACUUCGUGCCAGCAGCCGCGGUAAUACGAAGGGUGCUAGCGUUGUUCGGAAUCACUGGGCGUAAAGCGCGCGUAGGCGGCUUUCCAAGUCAGGGGUGAAAUCCUGGGGCUUAACCCCAGAAUUGCCUUUGAAACUGGAGAGCUAGAGUACUGGAGGGGUUGGCGGAAUUCCUAAUGUAAGGUGAAAUUCGUAGAUUUAGGAGGAACACCGGUGGCGAAGGCGGCCAACUGGACAGUAACUGACGCUCUGGCGCGAAAGCGCGGGGAUCAAACAGGAUUAGAUACCCUGGUAGUCCGCGCUGUAAACGAUGGAUGUUAGCCGUUGGGGGGUUACCUCUCAGUGGCGUAG